rnacentral:rRNA from 1 species
GACGAACGCUGGCGGCGCGCUUAACACAUGCAAGUCGAGCGAAGCGGCGGACGGGUGAGUAACACGUGAGUAACCUGCCUUAGACAUUGGGAUAGCCCCGGGAAACCGGGAUUAAUACUAAAUGGUCUAAGAUGGACUCGCGUCCCAUUAGCUAGUUGGUGAGGUAACGGCCCACCAAGGCGACGAUGGGUAGCCGGCCUGAGAGGGUGAACGGCCACAUUGGAACUGAGCAACGGUCCAGACUCUACGGGAGGCAGCAGUGGGGAAUAUUGCACAGUGGAGGGAACUCUGAUGCAGCGACGCCGGGUGAACGAAGAAGGCUUUCGAGUCGUAAAGUGCUUUUAUAUGGGAGGCGGUACCAAAAGAAAAAGCCCCGGCUAACUACGUGCCAGCAGCCGCGGUAAUAC